rnacentral:rRNA from 1 species
GAUGAACGCUGGCGGCGUGCCUAAUACAUGCAAGUCGAACGGAAAGGCCCUGCUUUUGUGGGGUGCUCGUGUGGCGAACGGGUGAGUAACACGCGAGUAACCUGCCCUUGACUUUGGGAUAACUUCAGGAAACUGGGGCUAAUACCGGAUAGGAGCUCCUGCUGCACGGUGGGGGUUGGAAAGUUUCGGCGGUUGGGGAUGGACUCGCGGGUUAUCAGCUUGUUGGUGGGGUAGUGGCUUACCAAGGCUUUGACGGGUAGCCGGCCUGAGAGGGUGACCGGCCACAUUGGGACUGAGGUACGGACCAGACUCCUACGGGAGGCAGCAGUGGGGAAUCUUGCACAAUGGGCGGGAGCCUGAGACAGCAGCGCUGCGUGCGGGAUGACGUCCUUCGGGUUGUGAACCGCUGUCGCCUGUGACGAAGCGUGAGUGACGGUAAUGGGUAAAGAAGCACCGGCUAACUACGUG